CUGCAGCCUGCUUCAGUCGUGUCCUUAGGAAAGGUUCAGCCUGGCACGGAGUUGGAGGGGCGAGCCAAGAGCAGAGAAGCCCCAAGACGAGAGACCGAGUUCUUCUGUAUACAAGGAGAAAGUAUUCUCUCUCAAACAGUAAACUCCCUUUUAUCACAGAGCAGGCUCCAGGCUCAAAGCCCUAGAUGGAGAUAAAGUAUUUUGAGGAGGGAGGAGAGUGUAUUUCUUCAUUUACACAAAGAUACUCAUAUGGAGCUGGGGGCAGUUCUUCCCCAAAAGGAAACAUUGAACUCAAAGUUCCAUGUAAGCAAGGACUGUGGCUGUCAUGUCUACCAUUGUAUAUCCCAGCACCUAGCACUGGACCUAGUAUAAAUUUUGUGCUAAAUUAAUAUUUAUUGACUGCAUGGAUGAACUCUCUAUUUUAUUUAUGGUUCUUCCAAUUUAUUGCUAUCUGUUUUCCAUUACUUGCCUUCUCUUACCCUGAAAUUAUGCAUCUGGAAUGAAGUAUUUUAAUAAAAUUAUUGAUGAACAUAAUGGAAAUAUGGGGCAUUAUAUAAAUAUUACAUACUAUUGGUUGAUUUGUGUGAUG
rnacentral:lncRNA from 10 species